rnacentral:rRNA from 1 species
AUUGAACGCUGGCGGCAGGCCUAACACAUGCAAGUCGAACGCGUCGCGGACGUGUGUGUUAUGUCUGGGAAACUGCCUGAUGGAGGGGGAUAACUUCUGGAAACGGUAUCUAAUACCGCAUACCAUCGGAUGUGCCCAGAUGGGAUUAGCUAGUAGGUGGGGUAACGGCUCACCUAGGCGACGAUCCCUAGCUGGUCUGAGAGGAUGACCAGCCACACUGGAACUGAGACACGGUCCAGACUCCUACGGGAGGCAGCAGUGGGGAAUAUUGCACAAUGGGCGCAAGCCUGAUGCAGCCAUGCCGCGUGUAUGAAGAAGGCCUUCGGGUUGUAAAGUACUUUCAGCGGGGAGGCGUUACCCGAAGAAGAAGAAACGGCUAACUCCGUGCCAGCAGCCGCGGUAAUUG